rnacentral:rRNA from 1 species
UACGGAGGGUGCAAGCGUUAUCCGGAUUCACUGGGUUUAAAGGGUGCGUAGGUGGGCAGGUAAGUCAGUGGUGAAAUCUCCGGGCUUAACUCGGAAACUGCCAUUGAUACUAUCUUUCUUGUAUACCGUGGAGGUCAGCGGAAUAUGUCAUGUAGCGGUGAAAUGCUUAGAUAUGACAUAGAACACCAAUUGCGAAGGCAGCUGGCUACACGAAUAUUGACACUGAUGCACGAAAGCGUGGGGAUCAAACAGG